rnacentral:rRNA from 1 species
AAACUUUCAACAACGGAUCUCUUGGCUCUCGCAUCGAUGAAGAACGCAGCGAAAUGCGAUAAGUAAUGUGAAUUGCAGAAUUCAGUGAAUCAUCGAAUCUUUGAACGCACCUUGCGCUCUUUGGUAUUCCGAAGAGCAUGCCUGUUUGAGUGUCAUG